rnacentral:rRNA from 1 species
AUUGAACGCUGGCGGCAGGCCUAACACAUGCAAGUCGAACGAGUGGCGGACGGGUGAGUAAUGUCUGGGAAACUGCCUGAUGGAGGGGGAUAACUACUAGAAACGGUAUCUAAUCCCGCAUACCAUCGGAUGUGCCCAGCUGGGAUUAGCUAGUAGGUGGGGUAAAGGCUCACCUAGGCGACGAUCCCUAGCUGGUCUGAGAGGAUGAACAGCCACACUGGAACUGAGACAUGGUCCAGACUCCUACGGGAGGCAGCAUGGGGGAAUAUUGCACAAUGGGCGAAAGCCUGAUGCAGCAAUGCCGCGUGUAUGAAGAAGGCCUUCGGGUUGUAAAGUACUUUCAGCGGGGAGGCGUUACCCGCAGAAGAAGCACCGGCUAACUCCGUGCCAGCAGCCGCGGUAAUUC